rnacentral:rRNA from 1 species
UUAAGUUAUUAAGGGCGCACGGUGGAUGCCUUGGCACUAGAAGCCGAUGAAGGACGUUACUAACGACGAUAUGCUUUGGGGAGCUGUAAGUAAGCUUUGAUCCAGAGAUUUCCGAAUGGGGAAACCCAGCAUGAGUUAUGUCAUGUUAUCGAUAUGUGAAUACAUAGCAUAUCAGAAGGCACACCCGGAGAACUGAAACAUCUUAGUACCCGGAGGAAGAGAAAGAAAAUUCGAUUCCCUUAGUAGCGGCGAGCGAAACGGGAAGAGCCCAAACCAACAAGCUUGCUUGUUGGGGUUGUAGGACACUCUAUACGGAGUUACAAAGGACGACAUUAGACGAAUCAUCUGGAAAGAUGAAUCAAAGAAGGUAAUAAUCCUGUAGUCGAAAAUGUUGUCUCUCUUGAGUGGAUCCUGAGUACGACGGAGCACGUGAAAUUCCGUCGGAAUCUGGGAGGACCAUCUCCUAAGGCUAAAUACUCUCUAGUGACCGAUAGUGAACCAGUACCGUGAGGGAAAGGUGAAAAGCACCCCGGAAGGGGAGUGAAAUAGAACCUGAAACCGUGUGCUUACAAGUAGUCAGAGCCCGUUAAUGGGUGAUGGCGUGCCUUUUGUAGAAUGAACCGGCGAGUUACGAUUUGAUGCAAGGUUAAGCAGUAAAUGUGGAGCCGUAGCGAAAGCGAGUCUGAAUAGGGCGUUUAGUAUUUGGUCGUAGACCCGAAACCAGGUGAUCUACCCUUGGUCAGGUUGAAGUUCAGGUAACACUGAAUGGAGGACCGAACCGACUUACGUUGAAAAGUGAGCGGAUGAACUGAGGGUAGCGGAGAAAUUCCAAUCGAACCUGGAGAUAGCUGGUUCUCUCCGAAAUAGCUUUAGGGCUAGCCUCAAGUGAUGAUUAUUGGAGGUAGAGCACUGUUUGGACGAGGGGCCCCUCUCGGGUUACCGAAUUCAGACAAACUCCGAAUGCCAAUUAAUUUAACUUGGGAGUCAGAACAUGGGUGAUAAGGUCCNUGUUCGAAAGGGAAACAGCCCAGACCACCAGCUAAGGUCCCAAAAUAUAUGUUAAGUGGAAAAGGAUGUGGCGUUGCCCAGACAACUAGGAUGUUGGCUUAGAAGCAGCCAUCAUUUAAAGAGUGCGUAAUAGCUCACUAGUCGAGUGACACUGCGCCGAAAAUGUACCGGGGCUAAACAUAUUACCGAAGCUGUGGAUUGUCCUUUGGACAAUGGUAGGAGAGCGUUCUAAGGGCGUUGAAGCAUGAUCGUAAGGACAUGUGGAGCGCUUAGAAGUGAGAAUGCCGGUGUGAGUAGCGAAAGACGGGUGAGAAUCCCGUCCACCGAUUGACUAAGGUUUCCAGAGGAAGGCUCGUCCGCUCUGGGUUAGUCGGGUCCUAAGCUGAGGCCGACAGGCGUAGGCGAUGGAUAACAGGUUGAUAUUCCUGUACCACCUAUAAUCGUUUUAAUCGAUGGGGGGACGCAGUAGGAUAGGCGAAGCGUGCGAUUGGAUUGCACGUCUAAGCAGUAAGGCUGAGUAUUAGGCAAAUCCGGUACUCGUUAAGGCUGAGCUGUGAUGGGGAGAAGACAUUGUGUCUUCGAGUCGUUGAUUUCACACUGCCGAGAAAAGCCUCUAGAUAGAAAAUAGGUGCCCGUACCGCAAACCGACACAGGUAGUCAAGAUGAGAAUUCUAAGGUGAGCGAGCGAACUCUCGUUAAGGAACUCGGCAAAAUGACCCCGUAACUUCGGGAGAAGGGGUGCUCUUUAGGGUUAACGCCCAGAAGAGCCGCAGUGAAUAGGCCCAAGCGACUGUUUAUCAAAAACACAGGUCUCUGCUAAACCGUAAGGUGAUGUAUAGGGGCUGACGCCUGCCCGGUGCUGGAAGGUUAAGAGGAGUGGUUAGCUUCUGCGAAGCUACGAAUCGAAGCCCCAGUAAACGGCGGCCGUAACUAUAACGGUCCUAAGGUAGCGAAAUUCCUUGUCGGGUAAGUUCCGACCCGCACGAAAGGCGUAACGAUUUGGGCACUGUCUCAACGAGAGACUCGGUGAAAUCAUAGUACCUGUGAAGAUGCAGGUUACCCGCGACAGGACGGAAAGACCCCGUGGAGCUUUACUGUAGCCUGAUAUUGAAAUUCGGCACAGCUUGUACAGGAUAGGUAGGAGCCUUUGAAA